ACGCGCGCUAUGCUAUAAUGAUUAAUGCUAAAAAGUAUAAUGAACCGGAAAAAGGUGAAAAGCCUUUACAGCCCCUUCGCUACUGUAAGAUUGACUGAAAUGUCGCAACUCACUGGCUAAAGCCGGGAAGAAGACAUUUGGGGAUGAGAUCAAGUCAGGAGACGCUUAUUAUACUAAUUGCAAAG
rfam:Lactobacillus helveticus DPC 4571, complete genome.